UAUUUCCUUGAGUGCUUUGAAAAUAUUCAGACAGUAAACACAGCAUGAUACUUUGCUAGUGUCUUCCUUUCUUGGAAUUCCUUUUAGUUAUUCUUCAAUGAAAAGUGUUGCAUACUCUAACCAAAUUGAGUGUGCCCAUUUGUAUACAUAAAAUAUAGACACAUUUUCAUUCUGAAUUUCUCUCUUUUUAAAAUAAAUUUUUGACUAUAUAUAUUUUUCUAAAUGACAUUCAUGUUUUCCAAGCUCUGUGACUCAAACAAGUCCAAGUGUGUUUUAUUUCUACACAAAGUGACAGAUUUGAAAAUCUCUUAACACAUCAAUUUUAACACUAAAAAUUGCCCUUUAUUGUUUUAAAUGUUGAAUCUGUAUAAUAUCAAGUCCAUUUCUCAAGAGAGUUUUAAAUAAAUUUUCUGUUGUGUUUAUAGUAUUGCUGAGUAUGUUUGCUAGUUAAGCACUGAUUUAAAUUGUUUUAGAUAUAUGCAUAUCAGUGUUUGUUAUCAGGGAACACAUUCUCUCUUAAUUCUUCCUGGUUUUACCCCAGCAGAAGCCAGAUGAAGGAAAGCAUCUCAGCUUCAUCUGGAAUGCAUAAGAUAGUGUCUCAUUUGGAAAGUACUGUUGCACAAAAUGUAAUGGUCUUAUCUCCAAUUGCAAUGACUUCAUAUCUAUGAACAUGGUGGUGUCUAAAGAGUGAUGAUGAAAUCUAUAUGUAACUCAUAACUGACAUUAUUUUUAACAGAGUGAUUCUGAGCAAGAUAAUGAGUGUACUUCUUGUCUAUUUGGUGUAUUCCGUUCACCCACAAAAAAAGGAAUAAAAGGAUAUGUAAAAGGACAAAAACACAGUGAAGAAACAGCAAAUGGAAAAGGCAAAAGAAGUACAAAUAGUUGUGGAGCAUUCCUGAAACCCACAGCAGAGUUAAAUUUGGACAGAUCAUCUGAGGCAGAACAGAAGAGGCUUCAUGAUAUGGAUGAUACUGCACAUCACCAGCAAAAGGUAGGCAUAUGUGUCCAUUUAAAUUCUUUUUCUUGCUUCCAGAUGCCAAUUGAAAUGACCUACUACAGUACUCUUUGAAAAUCCAAACAUAGUAAUUAAAUAUUUAAGUACAGAGAAGUUAACUGGUCAUCAAUAUCAAAAUAGCUUUAGCAAUCAAGGUGAAUGACAGAUAAACUUUAUGCAAGUAAUUGCACUACUAUUUUCCAAUAAUGUUUGCAUUUUCAUCUAUGUGACAGCCUUAAAUGGUGAAUGAUAAAUUGCAGAAUAUCAUAUCAGUUGAAACUAGGAACAUGCAUAAAUGCAAUGACCGCUGAACACAUUCAUGUAAAAAUAGCUUCAUUCCCAAAGGCUCAGUGUUUAAUUUCACAUUAGCUGUCACCCAUGACAAGGUUAACGAUGUUUUUCUCCAUGGAUUCCUGUGUCUUUACUGAGGAAGAUACCAGACUUAAAUGAGACCCAAAACUGCCUGUUAAUGGAAAAUGAUUCAGGAUGGGUACUUUUCUGUUAAUAUACAUACAGUUUCUAUUGAUUUUAUGUCAUUUCCUUUCAAGAAAUCAAUUCACUUAUUAAACAUAUUUUUUUCUUAGUAUCUAGAUGUUGUUAGACCUAAGUCAUUGGAUGCAAUUAUUGAGAAAUCAUGAAAUUUGGGAGGUGUAUUUUUCCUCUGUUCUCAUGUUGUCUGUGUUAGUAAAUUGUGGAUUUCCAUGCAUUUGAAUGGAUUUCUGUUCCAUAGUGUCUCCUGGGUACUUGGAGUGUGCAAGUUUCUCUUUGGGAUGUUUCCUGGACAGGGUUUAUAGAUGAGGAUCACAUCUGAAAAAUGAGCAUGUUUAACAUGUUACUUUCACUCACAAGUAUCUCUGUAAGGGGAGAGUAUCACAGAGCCACCAUCACCUUGCCAGGGUAGUUUCCUGCUCAGAAGGUGUAAGCCACCUGGGAAAAAGAAAGUCUCAAGUAAUUAGUAAGGAAAUAAGAGACAGAGCCAGAAAUUAAGUUUGAAAAGGAAAGCAGAGCUCCUGAAAGGUUCCCCAAUCCCAGUAGAAGCUGGAACUGAACAACUAGAAAAAGGAUCAAGUUGUUUAUUUAAGGGAGAGUAGAUCAAAGGCAGAGAUAAGUUUUUAGCGGGAGGAAUAUUGCUUUUUGGUGUGUUAGGGUUCUUGCAGCAAUGAAGUUGAUUGGCAUCUUGACAGGCCACACCCAACUCUGAAAGGCUGUGUAGCUGUGUGGCUCCAGCUGGUCCACCCAUCUCCAGUGCAGUGCUGAACCUGACACAGCUUUGUAAGAAGCCAGUGGCUUCUAAGUCAAUUUGCUUCACACCAAGUUCGCAUUGGCUCCUGUCAGGAGAGACUAAACUCCAAUAAUGAUCACAGCAUAAACCAAAAUAUGUAUCCACUGUACAUAAAAUAUUAUGUUUUAAAUGAUCUCCAGAGCAGCACAAAGUGAAGAGAUGGAGUAGGAAAUAACAAGGUUAACCUGCAAAAAAAAAAUAUAUAUCCUGGUUAUAAUAUAAUUAUUGGAACAUAUUUCAAAAAAGUAAGUAGAGUGAAAGUGGUGAGAGUAAGCAGAGUCAGAAUAGGAGUAGAGGAAAAAAUGCAAUAAAAAUGAGAAAUGAAAAGAUUUAAAAUGAGAAUAAAAAUUGUCUCUGGCUAACAAAAAAAAUGAAUGAAUGGAAUAAAACUCUCAAAUAAAUAGAAAGAGAAAAAUAAAUAACAUGGAAAACUCAUAAAAAUUAUCAAACAAAAAUAUCAGAAACAAUAA